UCCUACGGGAGAAAGCAGGGGAUCUUCGGACCUUGCGCUAAUAGAUGAGCCUAAGUCGGAUUAGCUAGUUGGUGGGGUAAAGGCCUACCAAGGCGACGAUCUGUAGCGGGUCUGAGAGGAUGAUCCGCCACACUGGGACUGAGACACGGCCCAGACUCCUACGGGAGGCAGCAGUGUAUUAGUGGGGGACAACAUUCCGAAAGGAAUGCUAAUACCGCAUACGUCCUACGGGAGAAAGCAGGGGAUCUUCGGACCUUGCGCUAAUAGAUGAGCCUAAGUCGGAUUAGCUAGUUGGUGGGGU
rnacentral:rRNA from 1 species